GACGAACGCUGGCGGCGCGCUUAGCACAUGCCAGUCGAACGGAAAGGCCUGCUUUCCCUUGUGGAUUGCGGGUACUCGAGUGGCGAACGGGUGAGUAACACGUGAGUGAUCUGCCCCCAACUUGGGUAUAAGCCUGGGAAACUGGGUCUAAUUCCCGAUAGGACUGCAGGGUGGUGCCUGUGGUGGAAAACGAUUUUCUAGUGGUUGGGGAUGAGCUCGCGGCCUAUCAGCUUGUUGGUGGGGUAAUGGCCUACCAAGGCGGCGACGGGUAGCCGGCCUGAGAGGGUGGACGGCCACAUUGGGACUGAGAUACGGCCCAGACUCCUACGGGAGGCAGCAGUGGGGAAUAUUGCACAAUGGGCGGAAGCCUGAUGCAGCGACGCCGCGUGGGGGAUGACGGCCUUCGGGUUGUAAACUCCUUUCGACCGCGAGGAAGCCACCUGGUUGGAAGGGUGGUGACGGUAGUGGUAGAAGAAGCACCGGCUAACUACGUG
rnacentral:rRNA from 1 species